rnacentral:rRNA from 1 species
AGGAUGUUGGCUUAGAAGCAGCCAUCAUUGAAAGAGUGCGUAAUAGCUCACUGGUCGAGUGACGCUGCGCCGAAAAUAUACCGGGGCUAAACACACCACCGAAGCUGCGGAUUGACAUCUACGAUGUCAGUGGUAGGAGAGCGUUCUAAGGGCAGUGAAGGUCGAUCGUGAGGACGGCUGGAGCGCUUAGAAGUGAGAAUGCCGGUAUGAGUAGCGAAAAAAGAGUGAGAAUCUCUUUCAUCGAAAGCCCAAGGUUUCCUGAGGAAGGCUCGUCCGCUCCGGGU